CCUACGGGUGGCAGCAGUGGGGAAUAUUGGGCAAUGGGCGCAAGCCUGACCCAGCAACGCCGCGUGAAGGAAGAAGGCCCUCGGGUUGUAAACUUCUUUUAUCAGGGACGAAGCAAGUGACGGUACCUGAUGAAUAAGCCACGGCUAACUACGUGCCAGCAGCCGCGGUAAUACGUAGGUGGCAAGCGUUAUCCGGAUUUACUGGGUGUAAAGGGCGUGUAGGCGGGAAAGCAAGUCAGAUGUGAAAACCAUGGGCUCAACCUGUGGCCUGCAUUUGAAACUGUUUUUCUUGAGUACUGGAGAGGCAGACGGAAUUCCUAGUGUAGCGGUGAAAUGCGUAGAUAUUAGGAGGAACACCGGUGGCGAAGGCAGUCUGCUGGACAGCAGCUGACGCUGAGGCGCGAAAGCGUGGGGAGCAAACAGGAUUAGAUACCCGGGUAGUC
rnacentral:rRNA from 1 species